UUUUCCUACGGGGAGCAGCAGUGGGGGAUAUUGCACAAUGGGGGCAACCCUGAUGCAGCGACGCCGCGUGAGCGAUGGAGUACUUCGGUAUGUAAAGCUCUGUCAGCAGGGAAGAGAAUGACGGUGCCUGACUAAGAAGCCCCGGCUAACUACGUGCCAGCAGCCGCGGUAAUACGUAGGGGGCAAGCGUUAUCCGGAUUUACUGGGUGUAAAGGGGGCGCAGACGGCGAUGCAAGCCAGGAGUGAAAGCCCGGGGCCCAACACCGGGAC
rnacentral:rRNA from 1 species